UACGUAGGGUGCGAGCGUUGUCCGGAUUUAUUGGGCGUAAAGAGCUCGUAGGCGGUUUGUCGCGUCGGCCGUGAAAUCUCCACGCUUAACGUGGAGCGUGCGGUCGAUACGGGCAGACUAGAGGGCGGUAGGGGAGACUGGAAUUCCUGGUGUAGCGGUGGAAUGCGCAGAUAUCAGGAGGAACACCGAUGGCGAAGGCAGGUCGCUGGGCCGCAACUGACGCUGAGGAGCGAAAGCAUGGGGAGCGAACAGG
rnacentral:rRNA from 1 species